rnacentral:rRNA from 1 species
UAGGGAAUCUUCGGCAAUGGACGGAAGUCUGACCGAGCAAUGCCGCGUGAGCGACGAAGGUCUUCGGAUCGUAAAGCUCUGUUAUGAGGGAAGAAGAGCACCGAUAGGAAAUGAUCGGUGUGUGACGGUACCUCAUGAGCAAGCCACGGCUAACUACGUGCCAGCAGCCGCGGUAAUACGUAGGUGGCGAGCGUUGUCCGGAAUUAUUGGGCGUAAAGGGUGCGUAGGCGGUCAAUUAAGUCUGGUCUGAAAGUCCAUGGCUCAACCAUGGGAUUGGAUUAGAAACUGGUUGACUUGAGGGUAAGAGAGGAAAGUGGAAUUCCACGUGUAGCGGUGAAAUGCGUAGAGAUGUGGAGGAACACCAGUGGCGAAGGCGGCUUUCUGGCUUACACCUGACGCU